GCCAGUGUGGUUUAGUGGUCUGAGUGUUGGCCUAUCACUCUGGUGACCAAGGUUCAAUUCCCAGCAAGGUCA